CUUCCACUUUUACAAGUCACGCAUUAGGCUGCCUCUGAGUCACGUGCCACCCAAGCCGAUAGUCUUCUCUGUCCAGCAAGGACAGAAUGGAUCCUCUUGGGAGACAGCAUGAGCAGGACGUAAACUUGUCAUUCCAGGGCACAUCCUUAUCACGCCAGUCUUCCAACUGGAGCUUUAGACAGGAGCACAGCAGACACGCACAAACUCAUGGCGACCAAAGUUCUCCUCGUUAAACUUUUCCGUUCAUGGUGACCUCAGGAGCGCCCAAACACAGCAAGAAGAAAGAGUGGGAGGACAGUCAGCAAACAGCCUCUGGGGCAAGGCGCCUUAUCUUUUACAGCAUCGUCUUGGCUGAAGCAAUUGAGCAUCCCAGGCUUCUCGACAUCUACAUGUUGACUCCCUGCCCCUCAGCCUUUACCUUUCCUGCUUCGGGUUAAUCCCAUCUCUAAUUCUGCAGACUCAACCCAGCCCAGAAUUCUUAGUUAACUGUUAUUCCUGGCUCGUGAUAUCUACCUCUUCACUUGUUCUCCUUUUCUCAUUUGGAAAACCCAACAAAAAGAUAGAAGGCUGUAAUAUCUGCCUUAAUUCUGGGCAGCUAACACAAGGAAGACCAAAGAACUUCCUACAUGAGGCACAAACAAAACAGAAACAUGCGCUGCAGCUGCCCCUGGGAGUCAAGCAGCCAGACUGUGAGAAAGGGGGCCCCACACUGUCCCAGCACCUUGAGAUGACACAACCAGAAGCUUCUCCUGUUCACAGAUGUCUUGUCAGAGUCUGGGGACCUGCAGGACUGGGCAGCGCUCGGCACAGGUAAGUGUCUCAUGAGAGAACAGAAGGGAACAUAAAGA
rnacentral:lncRNA from 1 species